rnacentral:rRNA from 1 species
UACGGAGGGUGCGAGCGUUGUUCGGAAUUAUUGGGCGUAAAGAGCGUGUAGGCGGCUUGUCAGGUCCGAUGUGAAAGCCCCGGGCUCAACCCGGGAAGUGCAUUGGAAACCGGCAGGCUUGAAUACGGGAGAGGGCAGUGGAAUUCCUGGUGUAGGGGUGAAAUCCGCAGAUAUCAGGAGGAACACCGGUGGCGAAGGCGGCUACCUGGACCGAUAUUGACGCUGAGACGCGAAAGCGUGGGGAGCAAACAGG